rnacentral:rRNA from 1 species
GACGAACGCUGGCGGCGUGUUUAACACAUGCAAGUCGAACGAUGAACCAGGGCUUGCCCUGGGGAUCAGUGGCGAACGGGUGAGUAACACGUGGGCAACCUGCCCCAGACACCGGGAUAACCUCUCGAAAGAGUGGCUAAUACCGGAUAUGACCACUUUGGGCAUCCAACGGUGGUGGAAAGGAUUCUGGUCUGGGAUGGGCCCGCGGCCUAUCAGCUUGUUGGUGGGGUAAUGGCCUACCAAGGCGACGACGGGUAGCCGGCCUGAGAGGGCGACGGGCCACACUGGGACUGAGACACGGCCCAGACUCAUACGGGAGGCAGCAGUGGGGAAUAUUGCGCAAUGGGCGAAAGCCUGACGCAGCGACGCCGCGUGAGGGAGGAAGGUCUUCGGAUUGUAAACCUCUUUCAGCAGGGACGAAGCGAAAGUGACUGUACCUGCAGAAGAAGCACCGGCUAACUACGUGCCAGCAGCCGCCGUAAUAC